UACGUAGGGGGCAAGCGUUGUUCGGAAUUACUGGGCGUAAAGGGCGCGUAGGCGGCACGACAAGUCGGGAGUGAAAGCCCGGGGCUCAACCCCGGAGGGUCUCUCGAAACUGUCGAGCUAGAGUGCGGAAGAGGCAAUCGGAAUUCCCAGUGUAGCGGUGAAAUGCGUAGAGAUCGGGAGGAACACCCGUGGCGAAGGCGGCUCUCUGGUCGACAACUGACGCUGAGACGCGAAAGCGUGGGGAGCGAACGGG
rnacentral:rRNA from 1 species